rnacentral:rRNA from 1 species
UGAGCAAUCUGCCCUUCUCUUUGGAAUAAGCGUUGGAAACGGCGUCUAAUGCCGAAUACGACCUCCUUUCGCAUGAUCGGAGGUGGAAAGCUCCGGCGGAGAAGGAUGAGCUCGCGGCCUAUCAGCUAGUUGGUGUGGGUAAUGGCCCACCAAGGCGACGACGGGUAGCCGGCCUGAGAGGGUGACCGGCCACACGUGGGACUGAGACACGGCCCAGACCUCCGUACGGGAGGNAGCG